UUGAACGCUGGCGGCAUGCCUAACACAUGCAAGUCGCACGCGAAAGGGGGCAACCCUGAGUAGAGUGGCGGACGGGUGAGUAACGCGUAGGAAUCUACCUGGUAGUGGGGGACAACCCGGUGAAAACCGGGCUAAUACCGCAUACGAUCCACGGAUGAAAGCAGGGGACCGCCAGGCCUUGCGCUAUCAGAUGAGCCUGCGUCGGAUUAGCUAGUUGGUGAGGUAAAGGCUCACCAAGGCAACGAUCCGUAGCUGGGUUGAGAGAACGACCAGCCACACUGGGACUGAGACACGGCCCAGACGCCUACGGGAGGCAGCAGUGGGGAAUAUUGGACAAUGGGGGCAACCCUGAGCCAGCAAGGCCGCGGGUGUGAAGAAGGCCGGCGGGUUGUAAAGCACUGUCGGUGGGGACAAACAAGGUGGAGCGAACAUCGCCGCCUCUGAUGGUACCCAAAGAAGAAGCACCGGCUAACUCUGU
rnacentral:rRNA from 1 species